GACAGCUUGGCCCGAGUGGUUAAGGCGAUGGACUUGAAAUCCAUUGGGGUACCUGCGUGAGUUCAAAUCUUCACAGCUGUCG
rnacentral:tRNA from 1 species